CCACACGAAGCUGGAAUCGCUAGUAAUCGCGAAUCAGAAUGUCGCGGUGAAUACGUUCCCGGGCCUUGUACACACCGCCCGUCACACCAUGAGAGCCGGUAAUACCCGAAGUCAGUAUCCUAACCGCAAGGAGGGAGCUGCCGAAGGUAGGAUUGGCGAUUGGGGUGAAGUCGUAACAAGGUAAC
rnacentral:rRNA from 1 species